UUGGUCAUUUAGAGGAAGUAAAAGUCGUAACAAGGUCUCCGUUGGUGAACCAGCGGAGGGAUCAUUACCGAGUUUACAACUCCCAAACCCCUGUGAACAUACCUACAACGUUGCCUCGGCGGCUCCCCGCUUCCCCGUAAAACGGGAGCGGCCCGCCAGAGGACCCAACAAACUCUGUUAUUUUCAGUAUCUUCUGAGUAAAAACACAAUCAAUUAAAACUUUCAACAACGGAUCUCUUGGUUCUGGCAUCGAUGAAGAACGCAGCGAAAUGCGAUAAGUAAUGUGAAUUGCAGAAUUCAGUGAAUCAUCGAAUCUUUGAACGCACAUUGCGCCCGCCAGUACUCUGGCGGGCAUGCCUGUUCGAGCGUCAUUACAUCCCUCAAGCCCCAGCGGCUUGGUGUUGGGCUUCGGCCGUCCUCAGCGGCGGCCGUGCCCCAAAUACAGUGGCGGUCUCGCCCCCGGCUCCUCUGCGUAGUAGUAACAUCUCGCACUGGGACGGAGCGAAGGCCACGCCGUAAAACAACCCAACUUUCUGAAUGUUGACCUCGGAUCAGGUAGGAAUACCCGCUGAACUUAAGCAUAUCAAUAAGCGGAGGAA
rnacentral:rRNA from 1 species